GAAGCUGCCUUCCCUGAGGGCUUCUGCAACCCUCAGAGAGGAAAUUGCCCCUGCGCACUGUGGUGGUGGGAACGGUCCUGGCUGCACACCUGCCGUCACCCGCUGACUGCCGCCCUCUCCAAGAUGCAGUAUCUGGACCCCGAGGAGCUCCCGGGCGAGGAAGAGGAUGACAUUUUUGGUGAAGUUGCAGACAACAGGAUCCACUCGGCAAAAAGGAUAUAAAAUAACAUGGCUUACGGAGCUGCUGGGUCACACGCCAAGCCACCUGGUAACGUUGGGUCACUAAUGGAGCCCCUGCCUGAUCCAUCAUCAAGAAGCUGCCCGCCCAUUUGAGAAGCCACCAGCUCCCGAAUGAGGCUGCCACAGCCAUGGUCCAGAAAACAGCCAGUUGGGAAGGCAGCACGGCAAAGCCAGACGGUCCAGGAGGGUGGUCACCAGUAGUUACCAUAGAGGAGAAGAAGUACAGCACAGUCGGCAAAAUAAGCUCCCCGCCCCAAAGAUAUCCACAUCCUGCUCCCCAGAACCUGUGAAUGUGUUGCUUCACGUGGCAAAAGGCACUUUGCAGCUGUAAUUGAGUCCAGCACCUUGAGAUUACCCUGGAUUCUCCAGGUGGGCCCAGUCCCGUUACAUGGGUCUCUAAAAGAGGAGCUGUGGUCACAUGACUAUGGAGGGAGGAUGAGAGAGAUUCAACAUGGCGAUAAGAGAGAUGAAGCCGGGGGCCACGGAGAAGGAGUGUAGGUGGUCUCUAGAAGCCAGAAGACGCAAAGAAAUGGAUAAUCCCCUGGCGCCUCCCGAAGGGCACACCGUGUGCUGAAACCUUGAUCUUAGCCAGCAGGACCCAUGUCAGACUUCUGACCUCUGAAACUAUAAAAGAAUAAAUGUGUGUCAUCUUAAGCC